rnacentral:rRNA from 1 species
AUUCUUGGAGAUGGGACCUCCUGCUUGUUCUGGAAAGACCGCUGGAUCUCAGGCCGCUCGUUCAAUGAGCUUGCGCCGACCAUGCUUGCCUUGGUCCCCAAGCGCCAGAGACGGACGAUGACCGUUGCCCUGGGUGGGAGAUAUCCAGUGUGCAUUGGGUCUAGUUGCGAUGGUUCAAUACGUCGAGCUUUGGCAUGCCCUGCAGCCUGUUACCUUAUCCCUCGACCCCCGAUGUGCUGCGCUGGAAGUGGACCGAUUCAGGCGUCUACACUACGAAUUCCUGCUACCGAGCCAUGUUUUCAAGCUCUACCAUCGCGCCCAACUGGAAGCUAA